UUACAACUCUUUUCCUCUUCUGUUCUAAUAUCUAAAAAUAUCUCUUUUAGGUGGAAGUUUGAUGUUUACUUGACUCAUAAUCAAAAGUUGUUUGUUUUGAUGAGAAUCUAUUUCAAUUUAUUUAAGGUUCACAAUUAUGUAAUUCCUAAAAAAUAUAAUUUUAUUCCAGUUUAAGUUUAGAUUUCAGAUUGAAGUUUGUCUUGAGUUC
rnacentral:lncRNA from 1 species